UGCAUCGAUGAAGAACGCAGCGAAUUGCGAUAAGUAAUGUGAAUUGCAGAAUUCAGCGAAUCAUCGAAUCUUUGAACGCAGCUUGCGCUCUCUGGUAUUCCGGAGAGCAUGCCUGUUUCAGUGUCAUGAAAUCUCAACCACUAGGGUUUCCUAAUGGAUUGGAUUUGGGCGUCUGCGAUCUCUGAUCGCUCGCCUUAAAAGAGUUAGCAAGUUUGACAUUAAUGUCUGGUGUAAUAAGUUUCACUGGGUCCAUUGUGUUGAAGCGUGCUUCUAAUCGUCCGCAAGGACAAUUACUUUGACUCUGGCCUGAAAUCAGGUAGGACUACCCGCUGAACUUAAGCAUAUCAAUAAGCGGAGGA
rnacentral:rRNA from 1 species